rnacentral:rRNA from 1 species
UACCGAUUGGGGGCUUAACAAGUCAGAAGUAAAAUCUCAAGGCUUAACUUUGAGACUGUCUUUUGAAACUGUUAAGCUAGAGGGGCAAAGAGGAAGCUGGAACCAGCGGUGUAGUAGUGAAAUGCGUUGAUAUCGCUGGGAACACCAAUAGCGAAGGCAGGCUUCUGGGUGCCUCCUGACCCUGCUAGGACGAAAGCGUGGGGAGCAAAUGGGAUUAGAUACCCCAGUAGUCCACGCUGUAAACGAUGCGCAUUAGGCGCUAGGAAGUAUCGACCCUUUUUAGUGCUAAAGCUAACGCAUUAAAUGCGCCGCCUGGGGAGUACGGCCGCAAGGCUAAA